UACGGAGGAUGCGAGCGUUAUCCGGAAUCAUUGGGUUUAAAGGGUGCGUAGGCGGAUUAAUAAGUCAGUGGUGAAAUAUCCCGGCUCAACCGGGAGGCUGCCAUUGAUACUGUUAGUCUUGAGUGUAAGUGAAGUGGGCGGAAUGUGUCAUGUAGCGGUGAAAUGCAUAGAGAUGACACAGAACACCGAUAGCGAAGGCAGCUCACUAAUAUACAACUGACGCUGAGGCACGAAAGCGUGGGGAUCAAACAGG
rnacentral:rRNA from 1 species